UCCAUUCCCAGCGGAUCUGGUGCUGGUGGCAGAGCGGUUAGUCCCUGCAGAGAGAUGAAGAAGAAAGCAUGAGAGAGAGAGAACGAUUUACAGGAGGGAGAGGGGCGAGGUCCCAGAGGGAAGCGGAGGCCUUGGACUCGCCGGAUCCGGACGAGGCAUAGCCAGAUCCCGCGAUGUGUGGACGACUUCAGAGGCCCUGAGGUUGAGGCAGCCAUGGGCGAGCUCCACCUCCUGCAGGUGCUGCUGCUGCAAGACAGAGAGAGAAAUGAAACAAGGGAGAGAGAGACCUGAGAAGAGGAUACGGAGGGUAGGAGGAAAACAGGGGCGCGGACAUGACCUCGUGGUGCUACUGCUGUUGUUGACCUACAUGGCUUGGACGCGGAUGAGAUUUAUCGAGGCCGACGAGGAGCUCGGGCUCCUGGCUGCUGCUACUGCGCACGGACGAAGGGAGCUACGGGCAUCCGCACACGUUCAGGAGGCAAGGGAGGAGGUUGGCUCGACGACUAGCGAGGGGUUGGACGCGAACUGGAUCUUGGGGAUCCCGAGGAAGGAGGAGGUUGGUCGGGUGGCGGCUACGAGGGAAUGGGUG
rnacentral:lncRNA from 1 species